rnacentral:rRNA from 1 species
CCCAGACUCCUACGGGAGGCAGCAGUGGGGAAUAUUGCACAAUGGGGGAAACCCUGAUGCAGCGACGCCGCGUGAGUGAAGAAGUAUUUCGGUAUGUAAAGCUCUAUCAGCAGGAAAGAAAAUGACGGUACCUGACUAAGAAGCUCCGGCUAACUACGUGCCAGCAGCCGCGGUAAUACGUAGGGGGCAAGCGUUAUCCGGAUUUACUGGGUGUAAAGGGAGCGUAGACGGUGAAGCAAGUCUGAAGUGAAAGGCGGGGGCUCAACCCCCGGACUGCUUUGGAAACUGUUUGACUGGAGUGCAGGAGAGGUAAGUGGAAUUCCUAGUGUAGCGGUGAAAUGCGUAGAUAUUAGGAGGAACACCAGUGGCGAAGGCGGCUUACUGGACUGUAACUGACGUUGAGGCUCGAAAGCGUGGGGAGCAAGCAGGAUUAGAUACCCCAGUAGAA